AAUAUUGGACAAUGGGCGCAAGCCUGAUCCAGCAAUGCCGCGUGAGUGAAGAAGGCCUUAGGGUUGUAAAGCUCUUUCGGCGGGGACGAUGAUGACGGUACCCGCCGAAGAAGCCCCGGCUAACUCCGUGCCAGCAGCCGCGGUAAUACGGAGGGGGCAAGCGUUGUUCGGAGUCACUGGGCGUAAAGGGCGCGUAGGCGGUGCACCAAGUCAGGCGUGAAAGCCCCGGGCUUAACCUGGGAAUUGCGCUUGAUACUGGUGCGCUAGAGAGCGGGAGAGGAUGGCGGAAUUCCCAGUGUAGAGGUGAAAUUCGUAGAUAUUGGGAAGAACACCGGUGGCGAAGGCGGCCAUCUGGACCGUUUCUGACGCUGAGGCGCGAAAGCGUGGGGAGCAAAC
rnacentral:rRNA from 1 species